rnacentral:rRNA from 1 species
AUACGGAGGGUCCGAGCGUUAUCCGGAAUCAUUGGGUUUAAAGGGUCCGUAGGCGGGAAUCUAAGUCAGUGGUGAAAUCUUGCAGCUCAACUGUAAAAUUGCCAUUGAUACUGGAUCUCUUGAAUUAGUGUGAAGUGGUUAGAAUGUGUAGUGUAGCGGUGAAAUGCAUAGAUAUUACACAGAAUACCAAUUGCGAAGGCAGAUCACUAAAACUAUAUUGACGCUAAGGGACGAAAGCGUGGGGAGCGAACAGGAUUAGAAACCCCGGUAGUCC